GGGUUGUGAGGUUAAGCGACUAAGCGUACACGGUGGAUGCCCUGGCAGUCAGAGGCGAUGAAGGACGUGCUAAUCUGCGAUAAGCGUCGGUAAGGUGAUAUGAACCGUUAUAACCGGCGAUUUCCGAAUGGGGAAACCCAGUGUGAUUCGUCACACUAUCAUUAACUGAAUCCAUAGGUUAAUGAGGCGAACCGGGGGAACUGAAACAUCUAAGUACCCCGAGGAAAAGAAAUCAACCGAGAUUCCCCCAGUAGCGGCGAGCGAACGGGGAGCAGCCCAGAGCCUGAAUCAGUGUGUGUGUUAGUGGAAGCGUCUGGAAAGGCGCGCGAUACAGGGUGACAGCCCCGUACACAAAAAUGCACAUGCUGUGAGCUCGAUGAGUAGGGCGGGACACGUGGUAUCCUGUCUGAAUAUGGGGGGACCAUCCUCCAAGGCUAAAUACUCCUGACUGACCGAUAGUGAACCAGUACCGUGAGGGAAAGGCGAAAAGAACCCCGGCGAGGGGAGUGAAAAAGAACCUGAAACCGUGUACGUACAAGCAGUGGGAGCACGCUUAGGCGUGUGACUGCGUACCUUUUGUAUAAUGGGUCAGCGACUUAUAUUCUGUAGCAAGGUUAACCGAAUAGGGGAGCCGAAGGGAAACCGAGUCUUAACUGGGCGUUAAGUUGCAGGGUAUAGACCCGAAACCCGGUGAUCUAGCCAUGGGCAGGUUGAAGGUUGGGUAACACUAACUGGAGGACCGAACCGACUAAUGUU
rnacentral:rRNA from 1 species